UGGGAAGUUUUCAGAGUGAUGUACAAAUGC
rnacentral:piRNA from 1 species